UCAGUUCGCAGAUAGCAAAAAGACUUUCUACACGCGAUGUCUUCAAGAUCUUCCAAAGAUAACAAUCAAUGAUGUUCACCGCAUCAUUCAAGCUGCGACAUCAGCGCCAAGGAGUAAGCAAGAGAAGGGCUUCAAGAUGUACGUUUCCAGUUACAUCGAUAAUUACGAAGUAUCAAAUAAGGAUCAACGGACAGGGGGAGUGAGCGUCCGAGUUACCUUCCAUGGGUCGAUGAGGAAACAUGAGAAACCUCACAACAUCAGAAUUGUCCUUGAGGACUCCUCCCUGUGCAGAUGAGUGAUGCUGAGUGUUCAUGUGUGUAGAUUGUAUUUC